rnacentral:rRNA from 1 species
AUUGAACGCUGGCGGCAUGCCUUACACAUGCAAGUCGAACGGCAGCGGACCUUCGGGUGCCGGCGAGUGGCGAACGGAUGAGUAAUAUAUCGGAACGUACCUUUCAGUGGGGGAUAACGUAGCGAAAGUUACGCUAAUACCGCAUAUUCUGUGAGCAGGAAAGCAGGGGAUCGCAAGACCCUGCGCUGAUUGAGCGGCCGAUAUCAGAUUAGCUAGUUGGUGAGGUAAAGGCUCACCAAGGCGACGAUCUGUAGCGGGUCUGAGAGGAUGAUCCGCCACACUGGAACUGAGACACGGUCCAGACUCCUACGGGAGGCAGCAGUGGGGAAUUUUGGACAAUGGGCGCAAGCCUGAUCCAGCCAUGCCGCGUGAGUGAAGAAGGCCUCGG